rnacentral:rRNA from 1 species
GACGAACGCUGGCGGCGUGCUUAACACAUGCAAGUCGAACGGUAAGGCCUUGCUUUUGUGGGGUGCUCGAGUGUCGAAAGCGUGUGUAACAUGCGAGUAUCCUGCGCUCUACUCUGGGAUAUCUUCAGGAGACUCGGGCUAUUACCGGAUAUGCGCUCCUGCUCCAUGUUGGGGGUUGUAGAGUUUCGGCGGUUGGGGAUGGACUCGCGGCCUAUCAGCUUGUUGGUGGGGUAGUGGCUUACCAAGGCGUUGACGGGUAGCCGGCCUGAGAGGGUGACCGGCCACACUGGGACUGAGAUACGGCCCAGACUCCUACGGGAGGCAGCAGUGGGGAAUAUUGCACAAUGGGCGGAAGCCUGAUGCAGCGACGCCGCGUGAGGGAUGACGGCCUUCGGGUUGUAAACCGCUUUCAGCACUGAAGAAGCGAGAGUGACGGUAAUGGGUGAAGAAGCGCCGGCUAACUACGUG